rnacentral:rRNA from 1 species
CCUUCGGGUGCGAGUAAAGUGGCGGACGGGUGAGUAACGCGUGGGAAUCUGCCUAGUAGUGGGGGACAACAAUCGGAAACGGUUGCUAAUACCGCAUACGCCCUACGGGGGAAAGGCUUCGGCCGCUAUUAGAUGAGCCCGCGUAAGAUUAGCUUGUUGGUGGGGUAAUGGCCUACCAAGGCGACGAUCUUUAGCUGGUCUGAGAGGACGAUCAGCCACACUGGGACUGAGACACGGCCCAG